CACGAGUAGCACGACGGACACAAAAAUCAGCCAACUUCUAUGGAAACUUAGCAAAGCAGUUCUCAGACCGAUGAGUGGUCUUUUUGCAAUGUUCACAAGGCUGAAAGGAGGUGUUCCUGGACCUCUGAGCAGCAGCCAACACACUGUGAGAACUCACACCAGUAAUAGAAGACAUAGACUUCAGACGAGUCUAUGCAGCAAGCAAUUCAGACAAUGCAUGAGCCAUGGUGAGAGUAUCUAAACUGUGAUUCUGUGAAGCAGCCUUGCACGAAGAGAAUCAAAUUCAGGUCGAACUCCCAUAACAAAUCAGUAGGUAAAAACUUCUCAAUGAACUUAUGGGUUGGGCAAGGCACAGUUGUACAUGCGGGCAACAUGGAGGUCAAUGCACUCAUAAGACGAUCAAAGGCUGGAUAAUAUUCAUCAAUGAACAUAUCAUGUUGCUCAAUGACAUGAGUCUGCUGCAUAAGAGUAUGUAAAAGAGCACCGCUAUCCUGAACAAACCGAUCCUUCAGAUGUGACCAGAUAGCCUUAGCAGUGGUGAAUUUGGACAGACUCAUAAUCAUAGUUGGUUUAGUGUUGUUUGCAGCCAUUACCUUGCCAUCAUUGAUCUGCCAAGUCUUGAUUGCAGCAACAUUGCUUCUAUCAACUGC
rnacentral:lncRNA from 1 species